UGAGGAAUAUUGGACAAUGGUCGGAAGACUGAUCCAGCCAUGCCGCGUGAAGGUUACGGUCCUAUGGAUUUUAAACUUCUUUUGUAUGGAAGCAAUAAGGUGCACGUGUGCAUCGAUGAGAGUACCAUACGAAUAAGCAUCGGCUAACUCCGUGCCAGCAGCCGCGGUAAUACGGAGGAUGCAAGCGUUAUCCGGAUUUAUUGGGUUUAAAGGGUGCGUAGGCGGAUUAAUAAGUCAGCGGUGAAACUCACAGGCUCAACCUGUGCCGUGCCGUUGAAACUGUUUAUCUUGAAUGCGGAUGCUGUGGGAGGAAUGUGUAGUGUAGCGGUGAAAUGCAUAGAUAUUACACAGAACACCGAUUGCGAAGGCAUCUCACAAAGCCGUGAUUGACGCUGAGGCA
rnacentral:rRNA from 1 species